UUGUACCAUAGAACUAGUGCUUGCUUCUUGAGGACAGACUUGUGGAAAAUGUUUAGGGUUCAGAAGCCUGUGGUUUCUCUCAUAGAGAGCUGGGACACUGGUGGGGGAAGAAGGAUAAGAGAAGUUGUAGAAAAAAUAGGAGGACCAUGGAAGGAAGAAAGAAGAUGAGGUUGGGAGAAAACAGAGAGAGAAUGGAGCUCUAACUCUGAGUUCAUGGUGAUCUGACUAUGAGAUGGUUUCCUUCCUGUAGUUACAGAGCUCUCUGAACAUUGUUUAUGCAGUUGAGAACUCUGGUGCCUAGUACCACUCUCCAGCUUUCUCAUCCUCAAUUAUGAACCCUGGUUUCAACUUUGGCCUUUUUGACCUAAGCUAACCUUCAGCCUGACCCUGGUCCUAAGAAAGAAAAAGACUUUUCUUUCUCGGCACAGGUGCCCUUGCCGUGAUGCCUUUCUUCCUGGUAUGUGUGAUGCAGCAAGGAGGGCACUCACCAGAGCCAGCACCAUGCUACUUGAACUUUGAGCCUCUGAAAUUACCCAUCUCAGCAGAUACUCCUGAAAAAAUGAACAGCAGUAUGAAGUGAGCUAUGUACUGCCAAGAGGAGAUGCAAACAGUUGUCACAGGGGAUUUAUUACUCAAGGAGAUCUGGAUACAACUGCCAUGACGCCUGUGAGCUUGCUCUUCUCUCCAAGAGCUGUGCAGGACUUGCUGAGGCUCCUCUUAGAGCCCAGUAACUUCAUCUGCAGAUGCUAUUUCCAUUUUCCCCAUUUUCCCAUUACCAUUAAUUUCAGUUGCAUUUUAGGACCUCUGUAAGAAACCCAUCUCCAUUAACCAUGUUUUUUUAUUUCAAUAAAA